AACAUUAGUGACACAGAUGAUGUAUAAUGCCACACAGACACCGAAACGAGAGGUGAAAUGUGGCAACACUACUAUGCUUUCCCAAUCGUUUUUGCACUCACAAUUCGUAAAAGUCUCCUAACUAGGAUUUGCAGAUUUUAAAUAAUGUUCCCAAAUUAGAUUUCCCAUCAAAUCUGUAUUCAAUAUGACAUAUUAACUCCUUUGCCUGCCUUUCAUUAAUAUCCAUAUCGUUUAGUCAAUUAAAUUAUUAUGAUGAAAAUAGGAAAAGGGCCCAAUAUACAGUAGUAUACCAAAAAUAAUGUAAAUAUUAUUUCUAAUAAUUCAUUUAUAUAUUUUUAUUAUGUGUAAUUUAAAUUGAUUAUCUAGGGGCAUUGAUGUAUUUGCAAAUGAAUCGGGGGGAAAAAAAGAGAAAAGAAUGAAAUGAUAAAAGACUUUAACUAGAAUUUAUCUCUACCCGUAAGCGGGUGGAUUUAUGUGGUCUUUCACUGUUCCAGAAGCUAUCAAAAUAUCAAUUCUUCUUGUUGCUAUAUUGUAACUGUGGUAAUGAUGGUACAAUCGCAGCCCAUGGCAUAAUUCGUUCCUUCAAAGAACUGAAGCAGAUUAAUUUCCCUCAGGUAAUAUUUUUAGUCAAACAUGUCCCACUGUAUCACUGUGUUAUAUUCAUACUAGAUAACGACCACUGUAAGGGACAGAUGUACUAUUGUGAGUGAAUUUGUCUCAGAUUUACCAGACAUGUUUAUUUCCUUGGCUUUUCAUUUCUUAUUUACUGAGCCAUCACCUGCUGUUUUUCAAACGCUGCACACUAACAAACCAAUUAGUAUGUUUAUCAUUGAACAUCACUUAAAACAUUCUUUUAAAGCUUCAUAUUCAGUCUUUACAAUUCUGUAUAAAAAGUCUACUUUGUAAUGUCAGCUGCUGUGAUUCACACCAAUAUAUAUAUAUGCCAUAUUUUAUACCUGCAUCUUUUAAAUCAAGACAAAAGCAAUGUUGCAUUAUAUAGGUGUGCUCAUAAACAUUUCUUUUUGUCAUGAAUGUUGCAAAUGUUUGAUUUCACUUCAUUGUAAUAUUUUUGUACUACUUAUCUUACCUACAUAGUCAAUAUACAAACAAAUACACUUCAGGCGAUAACUGCCCCCUGUGCUUAUCUAAUAUAAAAUGCAACAGAUGAUUUUGAGAUUGUAUAUCCGUGUUUUCCAGAGCAUCUUUUGGAUUCGAUCUGCACUUCAGUGGGAAUUAUUUAAUUAUUUUAAUCAGGCAGACAGUGAACUGUAAUGGUGUUAGAGAGAUGUUUGACCUUAUCUAGGGUGACCUCAGGGUUUUGGAACUACAACAUCUACUGUAGUGCAAUAUAAUGUUGGAGAUUGGACCGGGUGCUAUGAACCUGUCUGCCAAGAACAUAAUCUGUAAGCCAGAAAAUGGUCGGCACGACCGAGACUUUUAAUUAAAGCUCUUGCUGGUGCAGUACAUUAGAAUAAAAACCUUCCAAUAAGCAAAGUUUCUGCUUUUGCACUGGCCACUAGCAUUGUACGAUAUAUUUUAGGGCCAGCUUCGUGUGGCAUGAUAGCAGGUAAAAACAAACUGUCCUUUUAAUAGCAAAACAGCUAUGACAAUUAUAUAGUCUCAUUUACUGGAACAAAUUCCUCAAUAUCUGGUCAACGUAACAAGAACCCAGUGUUGGACAUGUAUCUAUUUUCAUGUAUGAAUGUUGUGAAUGUGCCGUGUCUUGCUGUAUAAUGCUUGGUGUUCCUUCACUUGUCUUCUCACUGUGAAUGUUGAAAUGAUUCAGGUGUAUGUGAGAGUAUCUAUGUGUUAUCUGUAAUGUUCACCUUCACUGUAUGUAAGUUUGAGAACUGGACAUACAGUAAA